rnacentral:lncRNA from 1 species
GAACUUGCUAAGCUGGUUAGGAGAUAAAGGCUGAGGUACAGGUUCCUGUCCUGCUGUCUGGGGGAGAGUUUUGGCAGCCUGCGCAACCAACCCUAGCCCAGACUACUCCCAGGUGCGGGGUUGAGGCUGCCCACCGUGGCAUUGGCAUCGACAUAACUGGCAGCUCUCAAUAUGCUGCAUCAGCAAAAGCAUACAGACAAAUGAGGCUGGCCACGGAGUCACACCGGCCUCAGCAGGACCUGUACAGAUCAGCCAUGAUCACCACGGUUGCACAACCUUGCACAAGUGAGAAGUGGACUCUGGACAGUGAGAUCUGCACUACAAGAAAACAUUGGCCUGAUAUGCCAAAGGUCUUCUCUCUUUGUUUCCUUAAAUCUUUCCAAGAGUUCCUGAGCCUGGCCACACUCGUUUUCUGCUAAUGAAUACCUAGAAAAAUAUACAAGCACUAACAACUGAAGAGUCUGAGCAUGCCUCAGUGGCCCUGCACUCCCAGCACACAAAGCCAUCUGCAGCCAUAAGUCAUUUGGAGCAGCCUCUCACAUGCUGGCUUCCCUACAGGGAGUUUCUCACAGCAGGAUCAGCCACCCUUCCAGCACAUCACAGGUGUUCUCCACAUGGUGUGAGC